AACAUGGAAUGAUAGCGCCAUUUUGAUCAUCAGUCAAGCUUCAGGACAGCUUCAUCCACUCUUCAAACGUCAGCGUUUAAAUUAUCGGAAAAGAUUUGGGAGCAGAAGAUCAUGACGAACUAAUCAACCCAAACUUCAUCGUUUAUUAAAAGCUCAGCAUGCAAUGUAAUAUUUGCCCACUCUUCUCAAGAACAACUUCUAAAACACAAGACUGCGACAUGGAGGACGAGUAAAUUGGAAUUGUUUUUAUGACAACUGUAUUUGCAUCUCAAAAAACCCGAAGUGAACUCAUCACAUCUUACAAGAAUACCCAAAAGAACUCAAAUAUACUUUUGAGGUAAUUGAGAAGGUGUUCAUGGAAAUGGGCAUUCGAUGCUCUGCAAGGGUACAGUCUUUAAAAACUAAGCUCUUCCUGUGAACGUUGUUGAACUGUGAAUUGUUGAACUAUGUUUAAAAAUGUUUUAAAAAUGUUAGUUUUUUGGUGUUAUGAAAAUGGGGCUUACUGCUCUGCAAAGGUACAGUCCGUGAAAAGUAAACUCUUACUGGGAAUGUUGACAUUUUGGUGUGAACAUCUUUUGAUUUCAACAAAUAUUAGCAUCUUAAUGUUAAAAUGUUAAUUAAUAAAAUAAAUUGUUAAACUGAGUUGUUAAAAUGUUAAUAUAAUGUCUUACAAUGUCAUUUUUAUUUAAUUUGUUU